UACAGAGGGUGCAAGCGUUAAUCGGAUUUACUGGGCGUAAAGCGUGCGUAGGCGGUUCAUUAAGUCGGUUGUGAAAUCCCUGGGCUUAACCUGGGAACUGCAGUCGAUACUGGUGGACUAGAAUGCGGUAGAGGGUGGCGGAACUCCGGGUGUAGCGGUGAAAUGCGUAGAUAUCCGGAAGAACACCGAUGGCGAAGGCGGCAUCCUGGACCAAUUCUGACGCUGAGGAGCGAAAGCCAGGGGAGCAAACGGG
rnacentral:rRNA from 1 species